AACGUAGGACGCAAGCGUUAUCCGGAGUUACUGGGCGUAAAGAGCGCGCAGGCGGAUGUUUAAGUCGUUUAUGAAAGCCCUUGGCUAAACUAGGGGAGGCUAAGCGAUACUGAACAUCUAGAGUGAGGCAGAGGAGUGUGGAAUUCCGCAUGUAGUGGUGAAAUGCGUAGAUAUGCGGAGGAACACCAGUGGCGAAGGCGACACUCUGGGCCUUAACUGACGCUGAGGCGCGAAAGCGUGGGUAGCGAACGGG
rnacentral:rRNA from 1 species